GACACUGAGGCUCGAAAGCGUGGGUAGCAAACAGGAUUAGAUACCCUGGUAGUCCACGCCGUAAACGAUGUCUACUAGUCGUUGGGUCCCUUGAGGACUUUAGUGACGCAGCUAACGCAAUAAGUAGACCGCCCGGGGAGUACGGCCGCAAGGUUAAAACUCAAAUGAAUUGACGGGGGCCCGCACAAGCGGUGGAGCAUGUGGUUUAAUUCGAUGCAACGCGAAGAACCUUACCUGGUCUUGACAUACACAGAAUCUUGUAGAGAUACGAGAGUGCCUUCGGGAAUUGUGAUACAGGUGCUGCAUGGCUGUCGUCAGCUCGUGUCGUGAGAUGUUGGGUUAAGUCCCGCAACGAGCGCAACCCUUGUCCUUAGUUACCAGCACUUCGGGUGGGAACUCUAAGGAUACUGCCAGUGACAAACUGGAGGAAGGCGGGGACGACGUCAAGUCAUCAUGGCCCUUACGACCAGGGCUACACACGUGCUACAAUGGUAGGUACAGAGGGCAGCUACACAGCGAUGUGAUGCGAAUCUCAAAAAGCCUAUCGUAGUCCAGAUUGGAGUCUGCAACUCGACUCCAUGAAGUAGGAAUCGCUAGUAAUCGCGGAUCAGAAUGCCGCGGUGAAUACGUUCCCGGGCCUUGUACACACCGCCCGUCACACCAUGGGAGUUGAUUGCACCAGAAGUGGUUAGCC
rnacentral:rRNA from 1 species